UUGCACUGUUCGUAACCUGUUAACAGUAUCUUUCUGAUAAUGGGUUCCAUUCCGGUGCUACAGGAUACCCCAAGAUAAUAGAAGGCUGGCUGUUUGUCUGCCUGUCCCCUUUAUUUUGGGGGACAUAA
rnacentral:snoRNA from 1 species